CCUACGGGUGGCAGCAGUGGGGAAUAUUGGACAAUGGGCGAAAGCCUGAUCCAGCCAUGCCGCGUGUGUGAAGAAGGCCUUCGGGUUGUAAAGCACUUUCAGUGGGGAAGAAAGCCUUGGGGCUAAUACCCUCGAGGAAGGACAUCACCCACAGAAGAAGCACCGGCUAACUCCGUGCCAGCAGCCGCGGUAAUACGGAGGGUGCGAGCGUUAAUCGGAAUUACUGGGCGUAAAGCGCGCGUAGGCGGUCUGAUAAGCCGGUUGUGAAAGCCCCGGGUUCAACCUGGGAACGGCAUCCGGAACUGUCAGGCUAGAGUGCAGGAGAGGAAGGUAGAAUUCCCGGUGUAGCGGUGAAAUGCGUAGAGAUCGGGAGGAAUACCAGUGGCGAAGGCGGCCUUCUGGACUGACACUGACGCUGAGGUGCGAAAGCGUGGGUAGCAAACAGGAUUAGAUACCCGAGUAGUC
rnacentral:rRNA from 1 species